rnacentral:lncRNA from 1 species
GACUUGUUUGGAAAUCAAUUGGGAGUUUUUUAUUUCUAUUUUGUGCAUCAUUCUUGUAUAUAGAUUGAGGUGUCCAUCUGCCAAAAUCACCCCUUUUUGGAUGAAGUCAAUUGGGAAUUUUGUAUCUUUAUUUUGUGCAUUAUUCUUAUAUGUAAAAUGAGGUUGCCAUUAGCCAAAAUCAUUGCUUUGUAACAUUAAAAACUGUUUCUGUACUCAUUUACUGUGAUAUAUUUGAUCGGUUUUACUGCUUUCGUUUUUCUUUUAUCUUGAGGCCUGAUUUCUCCGUACGAAUUUGUAUUUAUUGAG